UGUUAAAACUUACGUCCAUUUCUAUUGUUAAAAUUAGGUGUGGUUGAUGGAAUAACUAGACAAUUACAUGCGUGUUAUAUGUACUUUAUGCUAACAUAUAUAAAUUAAUUUUUAACAAUAAAAAUUAAUAAAAUUUUAACA
rfam:Gossypium raimondii Chr03_contig_1024, whole genome shotgun sequence.